CAGUCGCCGCGGGAAUACGGAGGGGGCUAGCGUUGUUCGGAAUUACUUGGCGUAAAGCGCACGUAGGCGGCUUGGUAAGUUAGAGGUGAAAGCCUGGAGCUCAACUCCAGAAUUCCCUUUAAGACUGCCGAGCUAGCAGGUGAGAGAGGUAAGUGGAAUUCCGAGUGUAGAGGUGAAAUUCGUAGAUAUUCGGAAGAACACCAGUGGCGAAGGCGGCUUACUGGCUCAUACUGGACGCUGAGGUGCGAAAGCGUGGGGAGCAAACAGGAUUAGAUACCCCUGUAGUCCCUGUCUCUUAUAC
rnacentral:rRNA from 1 species